GCUCCUGCGGCCCCCGUGCCGCUCCGGCCGUGCAGCGCAGCUUCGGGCUGCAGGCAGCCACGGGAGGCCCCUUUCACCUCUCCCCACAGUUCUGCGCUCAUAUCUCUUUGUCACCCAGCAGUCUCGGCACCCUCCUUCCUCCACUGGGAUCAGCCGGAGAUGUUUUGUGCUUCUUUCUUCUCAGAGAGAAAGAGCUGCGCUUUGGAUUUGUUCUGCCCAAUGCAAACUUGGUGACAAAGGCACAAAGGAAGGCUCUCAGUUCCAGAAGGACAGCUUUGAUACAGACCCCAAACUGGCAUGGAAAGUCAGGGCUCUUCUGUCUGAAUGAAGGUGGUGAGUGCCAGCUCACUGCAGAGAUGAGAAUGUGCAGAGCACAAGAGCAGCCAUGCUCCUCCCCUUUAAAACAGCACAGCAGUAGACUUGUUUCUGUCAGAGACUGGAAGGUAAAUACCCAAAGGUAAAUACCUAAUUUACACACCAAGCAAAGAAAGUGGUCCCAUCAAUACUGCAGGGAUUUUGCUUCCUACUUGGUGUCUUCUGGCAAUUUCUACAAUAAGUGGGGAAGGACUCACCAGAUACUGAGUCCCAGCUCUGAGUCUCCUGUUCACUUUUGUUAAGAUGGUUUUAGCUUGACCAAAUCAAACACAAGCACACAGUUGCAUAGAGAAUUCCCUCAACAAACACAGCUUUUUAUUUCUGUAGAAAACAUGAUACUUCUCAGGAAGGUCCAGCUUAUGGAACAGCAGCGUGCAUGUUAAUAUACAUAAAUACACAGGGUUACAAUUUAGUGGGAAAUACAUUUAAAAAAAAGCUUUCAAGUACACAAAACAAAUGUAGUAAAAUUAAACUAUCCUUUCCACAUACCUGCCUCGGAGAGAAACAUUUCUCAAAGGGAAUGAACUUCCACCCCAUCAUCUGCCAACAAAUCUCUCCACUGGACACCAGCUGCAGGAGGGUGUGAAGAUGGGCUGGACCAGAGGGCUCAUAGCUAGUGUUUGAGAUCAAGAGCACAUUUACCAUGGCAGUUCAGUCCCUGUUCUCUCAACUAUCAGGAUGUGUGUAGUGUGACAGUUACCCAGCCAGCACAUUAAGAGAGCUGCAAGAGGUAGGAAAUACCUCCUUCCUUCCACUUUCAGGUGCCUGAAAGGUUCAUGCUGCACUACUCUGUUACCCACCACACUGUGGCAAUCCCGUGACCCGGGGAGGCAUUUAUCAUUUAUUUAGUAACAGUCACAGAAAUGAGAAUGUGGCCCCACAGGCACGCCACUGGUGCUGCCAGGCAGUAAACACAACUGACAUAAGCACAGAGCUUAUGGAAAAACAGCUGCUGGAUGCAGGCAGCCUCUUGAAUAGAAGGAAUAAUGUCUACAGAUAUGGAAGAAUAGCUCAAUGCAUCACAGACUUCCUGAAUAUUUUCCUGCCAAGACACCAACAACAGAGAAUUAUAGUAUCAUUUAAAUAAAACAUCAGUUUGAAUGAAUUUGAAAGACAUUUACCACACACAGGAAGCCAAAAGGCUGAUCCUUAUGUUACUAACUUUAAUCCAUUCCUUCUACUUUUUGUCCUGUAGGAGUUCAGAGACUUGUUAUAUCACAGAACUUUUUUUCUAAAAUUUUACAAACUGAGGAUUAAAACAUAAAUCAGUCUCCCAAGAGAGAGGAAAAAGGCAUCUGAACAACAGAUACUCCCUGAUCUUGCUCUACAUGCUCUCAUGGUUAAAUCAGCAACCUGUGCAACAGAGGUUGUGUCCCAUUUCCAAGCCAUGCAGUGGCAGAGAUCCCACAAUUCACUUCAGCUACUGCAAGUGCAAAGGGCAAUUCAAGUUUUCCUACCAGUCUCCAAGACAAAAAUUAAA